UAGGGAAUCUUCGGCAAUGGACGAAAGUCUGCCCGAGCAACGCCGCGUGAGUGAAGAAGGUUUUCGGAUCGUAACACUCUGUUGUUAGAGAAGAACAAGGACGUUAGUAACUGAACGUCCCCUGACGGUAUCUAACCAGAAAGCCACGGCUAACUACGUGCCAGCAGCCGCGGUAAUACGUAGGUGGCAAGCGUUGUCCGGAUUUAUUGGGCGUAAAGCGAGCGCAGGCGGUUUCUUAAGUCUGAUGUGAAAGCCCCCGGCUCAACCGGGGAGGGUCAUUGGAAACUGGGAGACUUGAGUGCAGAAGAGGAGAGUGGAAUUCCAUGUGUAGCGGUGAAAUGCGUAGAUAUAUGGAGGAAAACCAGUGGCGAAGGCGGCGUUCUGGUCUGUAACUGACGCUGAGGCUCGAAAGCGUGGGGAGCAAACAGG
rnacentral:rRNA from 1 species